rnacentral:tRNA from 1 species
GCGGAGAGAGCUAGGUAGGUAAAGCAGUAGUUUGUGGUACUAAAAAUUGGUAGGUUCGAAUCCUAUUCUUCGCC